CCACCAGAUUUGUUUCUGUCAGAGACUGACGCUGAAAAAAUGGCGCGCAAGGGAAAGAGAACCAAUAACCCUAAUAGCGACAGCGAGGACGACGAAACCUUCUAUUACCGGUAUCCCUCCGCCGCCUCUUCUGCCCCGCCGCCGCCGUCGGCUUCACAGUCGCACUUCUCAUCGCAAUCGCACUCACACUCAUCCACCAAGUUCAGUGGUGGUUCCGGAGGUUUGGUUCCUUCGAAGUCUACUGUAUAUGUUUCCAAUUUCGACUAUUCACUCACUAAUUCCGACCUCCAUACUCUCUUCUCCACCUUCGGUAAGAUCGCUCGUGUUACGGUGUUGAAAGAUCGCCAGACUCGCAAGUCUCGCGGCGUUGCUUUCGUCCAGUUUAUUUCUCAGGACGAUGCAGUCAAGGCCGCGAAACAGAUGAACGGGAAGAUUUUGAAUGGUCGCGUUCUGAAGGCUGCCAUAGCGACUGAUAAUGGUCGCGCCGCUGAGUUUAUAAGGAAAAGGGUUUAUAAGGAUAAGAGUAGGUGCUACGAAUGCGGCGCAGUUGAUGGCCAUUUGUCUUAUGAAUGCCCUAAAAAUCAAUUGGGGCCAAGGGAGCGGCCAGAACCGAAGCGGGGGAGAAGGGGUGGAGUCGGUGCUAGGCACGAGGAGGAUUGGGGAUCGGAUGUUGGAGAAGGGUUCGAGGAUGACAAUUGGGCCUCGGUGGUGGACGGAGAUGCAGACCAGAGACUCCUGACUGGCGGUGAGAACGUUGUCGAAAAGAAAAAAGCGAAGAAAGCGAGUUAUUUCAGUGACGAGAGUGACGAAGAUGAUUAACAGAGCUCGUCUCUUUGGGAAGAAUUUGCGAAGGCCUCUUGUGCAUCCACAUGAUUACUUUUUUCUCCCCUGAUGAAGUCCCGAAGACUAAGCUUGAUGGCUUUGUAAUGCAACAUUGUAUAUGAGAGCAUAGCUCAGGAUGUCUCAAGAAUAACGUUCACAAGAUUGUUCAGAAGAUGUCACUUCACAUUAAGCUAUUAGUAUCCAGUGGAGGAAGUCGACUGCGUCACUGGUCCUUUGAUCACUUUCUUCAGCUACUAAUUUGCUAGGAGAGGACAGAAAACAAAGUUAAGAAAUGGAGGAAUACUACCGUUCUGGAAGAGGGGAAAUGAGCUUGAUCACUGGUAUUUACUUUAGAACUCAAGGACACAUAUAUACAACUUAUAUAACAGAUCCUGUUUAAGUAAGGUUGUUGAUCACUGGUAUUUACUGCCUAUCUUCAUUUAUUGUUCCCUUUGAACAAGCUUUGGCUAUGGAUAAAACAUUUUAGUCUCUCUCGAGGUGGAGGUCGAGCCAAAGCAAGAUCCAGUCAUUUGAUCAAUUUGAGAAAUAUUUCUUCAAUGACUUGGGGGUAUUGGAAAUAUUGGGAAGAAAAAUGUUGCUCUUAUUUUGUUGAAAUGGCUAUUCAAGUUUCCAAUGCUAAGCAUUGUGUGUGUAUGUUAUGAAAGAAAGUAGUGUGGGUGUGGAUCGUAAAUAAGGAUAAAGAUAUCCAUCAAUAUAUCUGUAAAAUUGAAAUCUCAAUAUCGAUAUUGAUAUUGAUAUUUUAAUCCUUGAUCGUAAA